rfam:Eubacterium sp. 3_1_31 genomic scaffold supercont1.2, whole genome shotgun sequence.
AUCAUGUAUUGACAAUAUGCUUGUAUAUACUCCAUAAUAUGGAUGGAGAGUUUCUAGCCGUGAGCCGUAAAUUCACGGGCUACAAGCAAACAAUUACUCUUU